UACGAAGGGGGCUAGCGUUGUUCGGAUUUACUGGGCGUAAAGCGCACGUAGGCGGACUAUUAAGUCAGGGGUGAAAUCCCGGGGCUCAACCCCGGAACUGCCUUUGAUACUGGUAGUCUUGAGUUCGAGAGAGGUGAGUGGAAUUCCGAGUGUAGAGGUGAAAUUCGUAGAUAUUCGGAGGAACACCAGUGGCGAAGGCGGCUCACUGGCUCGAUACUAACGCUGAGGUGCGAAAGCGUGGGGAGCAAACAGG
rnacentral:rRNA from 1 species